CUAACAACCAGAUAUGAAUAGAAAUCGAAGGGCAUGAUCAAUGUUUCCAAGACAGUUUCACCAUGAAUCUGCAUUUUCCGUGCUAUGACUGUGACAUUUG